UACGUAGGGCGCAAGCGUUGUCCGGAAUUAUUGGGCGUAAAGAGCUCGUAGGCGGUCUGUUACGUCUGCUGUGAAAACCCAGGGCUUAACCCUGGGCUUGCAGUGGAUACGGGCAGACUAGAGGCAGGUAGGGGAGAAUGGAAUUCCCGGUGUAGCGGUGAAAUGCGCAGAUAUCGGGAGGAACACCGGUGGCGAAGGCGGAUCUCUGGACAGUUCCUGACGCUGAGGCGCGAAGGCCAGGGGAGCAAACGGG
rnacentral:rRNA from 1 species